AUGGUUUUCUUAAAAAAUAUUUCUUUUUAUUAUUUUAGUCACACGUAUUUUAAUUACUGUAACUACUGUAUUAAACCAUGCUCGUACAAACAAAAUAGCGGCCAGGUGCUCGGUUCAUCUAACUUUUUUGGAAUUGUACUAGGUGCUAGGCUGCUAGCACAACACGUAGAGGGACAUCUAGCGGCUUCUACUCAGUGCCGCCACAACAUUUCGUUCGAUGAAAAAAAAGCAGUAGCCAGCCCACCGAGCAGUGUCCCUUAUCUUAUCCACAAGCUCGUCAUCGCUCCGCCUCCAUUGUUCCUCCUCCUGCAAACUCACGCACCACAGCGCCGCAGCUCCCCCUCCUCUCUCUCCAGGCAACGACGGCCACAAAUAUUCCAGCCGCACCAACGAAUCCGUUCCUCUCGAGCUCCUCCUCGUCCUCCUACAUCAACCCAAGCCGCCACGGCCGCUGUGUAUGCGUUGACAGUGGGUCGCGAGGGCGUGCGUCCGACGCAUCUGGCCCCGCUUCCGGCGAUGAACGCCUCCUUCGCGCCUCCCUCCUGCUGCGCGUGUCCUUCUCCGGCGAGCCUCCGGUCUUCCGCUCGCCUGCCUGCGGCCAUGGCUGUGGUCCCGCCGCCCGCCAUGCCCUUCUUCCCCGAGCUCCCUUGCCAUCUGGAUCUCUCUGCCCAGCCAUCGGGCCUCCAACUCCGUCGCCUGCACAUUUGGCUCCUCUCCUCUUCCCCCACUGUGGCACGGGCCAAAGCUGCUGCCUCCCGUCGUCAGCGGCUCCUCAUCCCCGCGGUGCCGGGAAUCCCACAGCGAUUCCUCGCGGCCAUGGCUCCUCUUCAGGCGAGCUGGCCCCGGCCGUGCGCUCGAGGCCGUCGUCGCUCCAGCAUCGACCGCUCUGAUGUGGUCGUGCAGUCCCGACCAACCCCGUCCACCAGUUAA
rnacentral:rRNA from 1 species